UUUAGAAAUAUAUUUACUGAGAAAAAUGGUGAUGUGAUUAAUACCUAUUUUACCCACUGUAGACAUAUAUACUUCAGAUUGUGAUUGAUUGA